CCCUUAGAUGCUCUGGGCCGCACGCGCGCUACACUGGUCGAUGCAACGAGUUUCUUUCCUUGGCCGACAGGCCUGGGCAAUCUUUGAACAUCGAUCGUGAUCGGGAUAGAUUCUUGUAAUUUUUGAUCUUAAACGAGGAAUUCCUAGUAAACGCAAGUCAUCAGCUUGCAUUGAUUACGUCCCUGCCCUUUGUACACACCGCCCGUCGCACCUACCGAUUGAAUUGUCCGGUGAAAUCUCCGGACUGGCGUGAGUCGGAGCAAUCUGACAAACACCGGAAAGUUGAUUAAACCUUACCAUUUAGAGGAAGGUGAAGUCGUAACA
rnacentral:rRNA from 1 species